GUAAGGUGAUAUGAACCGUUAUAACCGGCGAUUUCCGAAUGGGGAAACCCAGUGUGUUUCGACACACUAUCAUUAACUGAAUCCAUAGGUUAAUGAGGCGAACCGGGGGAACUGAAACAUCUAAGUACCCCGAGGAAAAGAAAUCAACCGAGAUUCCCCCAGUAGCGGCGAGCGAACGGGGAGCAGCCCAGAGCCUGAAUCAGUAUGUGUGUUAGUGGAAGCGUCUGGAAAGGCGCGCGAUACAGGGUGACAGCCCCGUACACAAAAAUGCACAUGCUGUGAGCUCGAUGAGUAGGGCGGGACACGUGGUAUCCUGUCUGAAUAUGGGGGGACCAUCCUCCAAGGCUAAAUACUCCUGACUGACCGAUAGUGAACCAGUACCGUGAGGGAAAGGCGAAAAGAACCCCGGCGAGGGGAGUGAAAAAGAACCUGAAACCGUGUACGUACAAGCAGUGGGAGCACGCUUAGGCGUGUGACUGCGUACCUUUUGUAUAAUGGGUCAGCGACUUAUAUUCUGUAGCAAGGUUAACCGAAUAGGGGAGCCGAAGGGAAACCGAGUCUUAACUGGGCGUUAAGUUGCAGGGUAUAGACCCGAAACCCGGUGAUCUAGCCAUGGGCAGGUUGAAGGUUGGGUAACACUAACUGGAGGACCGAACCGACUAAUGUUGAAAAAUUAGCGGAUGACUUGUGGCUGGGGGUGAAAGGCCAAUCAAACCGGGAGAUAGCUGGUUCUCCCCGAAAGCUAUUUAGGUAGCGCCUCGUGAAUUCAUCUCCGGGGGUAGAGCACUGUUUCGGCAAGGGGGUCAUCCCGACUUACCAACCCGAUGCAAACUGCGAAUACCGGAGAAUGUUAUCACGGGAGACACACGGCGGGUGCUAACGUCCGUCGUGAAGAGGGAAACAACCCAGACCGCCAGCUAAGGUCCCAAAGUCAUGGUUAAGUGGGAAACGAUGUGGGAAGGCCCAGACAGCCAGGAUGUUGGCUUAGAAGCAGCCAUCAUUUAAAGAAAGCGUAAUAGCUCACUGGUCGAGUCGGCCUGCGCGGAAGAUGUAACGGGGCUAAACCAUGCACCGAAGCUGCGGCAGCGACGCUGAUGCGUUGUUGGGUA
rnacentral:rRNA from 1 species